GCACGGUGAUGGAUUUAUGGUGGGCCCGUCCAUGUGGGCCUUCCACAGUGUGCCAUGCGAGAGCAAAGUGCGCCUCGAACCAUUGUCUGGCCUCUGCUGUGAGCUGAGAGCACUGAAGGGGGCUGCACAGUG
ensembl:snoRNA